rnacentral:rRNA from 1 species
GAUGAACGCUGGCGGCGGGCCUAAUACAUGCAAGUCGAGCGAAAAGACGAUGUCCUUGCCUCUCUAACGUUACCGGCGUACGUAAGAGUAACGCGAGUAUCCCCUCUCUAUAAGACUGGCAUAACUACGGGAAACCGGAGCUAUAACACGAUAUUAUAUUCAUCCGCAGGUUUCAAUAGUUAUAUACGGUUUUGCUGUCACUUAUAGAUGGAUCCGCGCAGCAUUAGUUAGUUGGGAAGGUAACGGAUUACCAAGGCAACCAUGGGUAGCCGACCUGAGAGGAGGAUCGGCCACACUGGAACUGAGACACGGUCCAGACUCCUACGGGAGGCAGCAGUGGGGAAUGUAACGCAAUGGGCGAAAGCCUGACGGAGCAAAGCCGCGUGGGGGAUAAAGUGAUUCGGAUAGUAAAACUCUGCUAUUAGGGAAGAACGAAUGUGUAAGUAACGAUGCACGUCUUGACGGUACCUAAUCAGAAAGCCACGGCUAACUCCGUG